rnacentral:rRNA from 1 species
GUGCGAGCGUUAAUCGGAAUUACUGGGCGUAAAGCGUACGCAGGCGGUCUGUUAAGUCAGAUGUGAAAUCCCCGGGCUUAACCUGGGAACUGCAUUUGAAACUGGCAGGCUAGAGUCUCGUAGAGGGGGGUAGAAUUCCAGGUGUAGCGGUGAAAUGCGUAGAGAUCUGGAGGAAUACCGGUGGCGAAGGCGGCCCCCUGGACGAAGACUGACGCUCAGGUACGAAAGCGUGGGGAGCAAACAGGAUUAGAUACCCUGGUAGUCCACGCUGUAAACGAUGUCGAUUUGAAGGUUGUGGUCUUGAGCCGUGGCUUUCGGAGCUAACGCGUUAAAUCGACCGCCUGGGGAGUACGGCCGCAAGGUUAAAACUCAAAUGAAUUGACGGGGGCCCGCACAAGCGGUGGAGCAUGUGGUUUAAUUCGAUGCAACGCGAAGAACCUUACCUACUCUUGACAUCCAGAGAACUGAGCAGAGAUGCUUAGGUGCCUUCGGGAACUGUGAGACAGGUGCUGCAUGGCUGUCGUCAGCUCGUGUUGUGAAAUGUUGGGUUAAGUCCCGCAACGAGCGCAACCCUUAUCCUUUGUUGCCAGCGAUUCGGUCGGGAACUCAAAGGAGACUGCCGGUGAUAAACCGGAGGAAGGUGGGGAUGACGUCAAGUCAUCAUGGCCCUUACGAGUAGGGCUACACACGUGCUACAAUGGCGCAUACAAAGAGAAGCGAUCUCGCGAGAGUCAGCGGACCUCAUAAAGUGCGUCGUAGUCCGGAUUGGAGUCUGCAACUCGACUCCAUGAAGUCGGAAUCGCUAGUAAUCGUGGAUCAGAAUGCCACGGUGAAUACGUUCUCGGGCCUUGUACACACCGCCCGUCACACCAUGGGAGUGGGUUGCAAAAGAAGUAGGUAGCUUAACCUUAGGGAGGGCGUUUACCACUUUGUGAUUCAUGACUGGGGUGAAGUCGUAACAAGGUAACC